AACAAACGCUGGCGGCGUGCCUAAUACAUGCAAGUCGAACGAGGAAAGCUUUCGGGUGAGUACUAGUGGCGCACGGGUGAGGAAUACAUGGGUAAUCUGCCCUCGAGUUGGGGAUAACCAGUCGAAAGAUUGGCUAAUACCGGAUAAGACCACAAGAUCUGCGGAUCAAGGGGUUAAAGGUUUUUCGCUUGAGGAUGAGCCCAUGUGGGAUUAGUUAGUUGGUGAGGUAAUGGCUCACCAAGGCGACGAUCCCUAACUGGUCUUAGAGGAUGAUCAGUCACACUGGAACUGAGACACGGUCCAGACUCCUACGGGAGGCAGCAGUAGGGAAUAUUGCACAAUGGGGGAAACCCUGAUGCAGCGACGCCGCGUGAGUGAUGAAGGCCUUCGGGUCGUAAAGCUCUGUCGUAUGGGACUAACACAAUGAAGGUACCAUGCAAGAAAGGAUCGGCUAACUUCGUGCCAGCCGCCGCAGUAAGA
rnacentral:rRNA from 1 species